AUUGAACGCUGGCGGCAGGCCUAACACAUGCAAGUCGAGCGGCAGCGGGAAAGUAGCUUGCUACUUUUGCCGGUGAGCGGCGGACGGGUGAGUAAUGCCUGGGAAAUUGCCCAGUCGAGGGGGAUAACAGUUGGAAACGACUGCUAAUACCGCAUACGCCCUACGGGGGAAAGCAGGGGACCUUCGGGCCUUGCGCGAUUGGAUAUGCCCGGGUGGGAUUAGCUAGUUGGUGAGGUAAUGGCUCACCAAGGCGACGAUCCCUAGCUGGUCUGAGAGGAUGAUCAGCCACACUGGAACUGAGACACGGUCCAGACUCCUACGGGAGGCAGCAGUGGGGAAUAUUGCACAAUGGGGGAAACCCUGAUGCAGCCAUGCCGCGUGUGUGAAGAAGGCCUUCGGGUUGUAAAGCACUUUCAGCGAGGAGGAAAGGUUGAUGCCUAAUACGUAUCAACUGUGACGUUACUCGCAGAAGAAGCACCGGCUAACUCCGUGCCAGCAGCCGCCGUAAGAC
rnacentral:rRNA from 1 species